UACAGAGGUCUCAAGCGUUGUUCGGAUUCAUUGGGCGUAAAGGGUGUGUAGGUGGCGCGCUAAGUCGGGUGUGAAAUUUCGGAGCUUAACUCCGAAACUGCAUUCGAUACUGGCGUGCUUGAGGACUGGAGAGGAGACUGGAAUUCAUGGUGUAGCAGUGAAAUGCGUAGAGAUCAUGAGGAAGACCAGUGGCGAAGGCGGGUCUCUGGACCGGUACUGACGCUGAGACGCGAAAGCGUGGGGAGCGAACAGG
rnacentral:rRNA from 1 species